rnacentral:rRNA from 1 species
CACGUACGGGAGGCAGCAGUCGAGAAUUUUUCUCAAUGGGGGAAACCCUGAAGGAGCGACGGCGCGUGGAGGAUGACGGUCUUCGGAUUGUAAGCUCCUGUCAUUUGGGAACAAAGCUGUUAAAGGCCUGAUAGUACCAAAAGAGGAAGAGACGGCUAACUCUGUGCCAGCAGCCGCGGUAAUACAGAGGUAUCAAGCGUUGUUCGGAUUUAUUGGGCGUAAAGGGUGCGUAGGCGGCGAUGUAAGUCAGGUGAGAAAUCUUGGGGCUUAACCCCAACAAGCAUUCGAUACUGCAUUGCUAGAGGACUGGAUGCGAGAUUGGAAUUCACGGUGUAGCAGUGAAAUGCGUAGAUAUCGUGAGGAAGGCCAGUGGCGAAAGCGAAUCUCUGGACAGUUCCUGACGCUGAGGCACGAAGGCUAGGGGAGCAAACGGGAUUAGAUACCCCGGUAGUCCUAGCAGUAAACGGUGUAUGUUUGGUGUGGGGGGAUUCGACCCCCUCCG